rnacentral:rRNA from 1 species
CAGCCGCCGCGGUAAUACGAAGGGUGCAAGCGUUACUCGGAAUUACUGGGCGUAAAGCGUGCGUAGGUGGUGGUUUAAGUCCGUUGUGAAAGCCCUGGGCUCAACCUGGGAAUUGCAGUGGAUACUGGGUCACUAGAGUGUGGUAGAGGAUAGUGGAAUUUCCGGUGUAGCAGUGAAAUGCGUAGAGAUCGGAAGGAACAUCUGUGGCGAAGGCGACUAUCUGGGCCAACACUGACACUGAGGCACGAAAGCGUGGGGAGCAAACAGGAUUAGAUACCCAGUAGUCCCUGUCUCUUAUACA